GGCGUCUAGAGGCUCAGGACACCGCCCUUUCACGGCGGUAACAGGGGUUCGAAUCCCCUAGGGGACGCCA
rnacentral:tRNA from 1 species